AUGUUUGUGCCAAACAGAAACAUUUUUGGAAAACAGAUGUCUUUUUUUGGAGCGCCAUUAAAAUAUUCUCAAUUUCCUAUCCCGUGCGUGUGUGCACACACAGCCUCCCACGACUGGCCAAAGAAGUUCUGGGUCAACGUUCUGAGCAUCAUGCCUCACUGGGCAGGGAAAUACAAGUCAAAGUACCACAAAACGUUUGUGCCAGGAAGUCAGCCAGCACCUCACAAGAAGCCUUCAAUUGCAAGCCGUGGAAGCACAAUUCAAUUUGGAUGGAACCAAGUAAUGUCGUCGGUUGACUAAUCCUUUGAUUCAAAAGAGUUACAAGGGUCCAGUAAGGGCAAAGCACUUUGGGGGUCCCUUGAGAGACAGGCCCAUUCGCUGCCCUCAGCAAGCUCAAGUCACAUGGAGAAUUCCGCAAGUCACUGUGGUUCUCUUUCUUUUCGGAAUGGAAAUACAGAGAAGAAUACAUUUGGAGCAAAGAAUGGACUGCAUCCUUUACGAAACAAAUGAAGGCACCUGAAUAAUUGCAUUGCAGCCUCAGCAGUGCAAGUGGUACCAUAUGGCCGUUUUAAAGUGGUGGGCCCUCCUUUAUAGAAGAUCCAAACCCACUUCAGGACUUAAAAAGCAAAAGUGCAUUAUCUACGGUGCAAAAGGCCACAGAAGAAUAUGAAAUGCAGGCAAGCCUCCCGCAAGCCCAGCUGCUGUCUGCUCCACCUUCCUAAAUGCUCAUGGGCUGAGUUGACCUAGAGAUGACCACUCUUCUGUCAUCGCCCAUCUGGUUCUGCCCACGGGAGUGCUUGAUGCUGCCUGGUCUCAGCAGAUAAGAUGACCUGACUUGGUCAUUCUACACCGUCUUGCAUCCGAAAAGCUGGGGAGAGUGAGUGUGAGCAGUGGGGCAGCCUGUGUCCUGCCUCCUGGAAGGACUAGUUUUCUUGUCGCUGAUGAAUAAGAUCAUCUGUGUACACACUGGGGACUGAAGCUGUAGAUAACUGAGCAGAGCUGACCUGCCUGACAGCCUUGUCCCUGACCACGACAAACUCUGACGUUCCAGUAUAUGUAUGUCAGGAAAGACAAAAUGUUUCUGCCACAGAGUUUAAGCUGAGUGAAUAAAAAUGGAGUGAGCAGAGGAUGGAUGAAGGUA
rnacentral:lncRNA from 1 species